GGCUUGGAGCUCUGAAGGCCUGGCAUGCAGGUACCUCAUGCCCAGGCGCCAGCCCCACAAGCCC
rnacentral:miRNA from 1 species